rnacentral:rRNA from 1 species
ACGUAGGAAGCAAGCGUUAUCCGGAUUUACUGGGCGUAAAGGGCAGGCAGGCGGUUGGUUAAGUUCUACUUGAAAGCUCUCGGCUCAACUGGGAGAGGCGGUAGGAAACUGGUCAACUAGAGGAUGAUAGAGGAGAGUGGAAUUCCCGGUGUAGUGGUGAAAUGCGUGGAUAUCGGGAGGAACACCAGUGGCGAAAGCGGCUCUCUGGGUCACACCUGACGCUCAACUGCGAAAGCCAGGGGAGAGAACGGGA